GUGAAUCAUCAAAUCUUUGAACGCAAAUUGCACUCCUUGGUAUUCCGGGGAGUAUGCCUGUUUGAGGGUCGUUAGAAACAAAAUCCUACCGUCGCUCUUUUUUGUAAGGGUGAUCGCAUCGUUAUUGCCCCGUCUUUCAAAUGUUAAUUUGUGUCAAAGUGGCUUAAUUUUAAUUCAUCUGGUACGAUUAAUGUGUAUUUAUGAUCA
rnacentral:misc_RNA from 1 species